GGUUUAGCUCAGUCGGUAGAGCACUGGUCUCCAAAACCAGGUGUCGGGAGUUCGAGUCUCUCAACC
rnacentral:tRNA from 1 species